UACAGAGGGUGCAAGCGUUAAUCGGAAUUACUGGGCGUAAAGCGCACGUAGGCGGUUGUUUAAGUUGGAUGUGAAAGCCCCGGGCUCAACCUGGGAAUUGCAUUCAAAACUGGACAACUAGAGUGUGUGAGAGGGGGGUAGAAUUCCAAGUGUAGCGGUGAAAUGCGUAGAGAUUUGGAGGAAUACCAGUGGCGAAGGCGGCCCCCUGGCACAACACCGACGCUCAGGUGCGAAAGCGUGGGGAGCAAAC
rnacentral:rRNA from 1 species